rnacentral:lncRNA from 1 species
AUGCAUGUAUGUGUAUGUACAUAUGCCCUGUAUUGGUGUUGGAGUGUGGGGUGUGUGUGUGUGUGUGUUGGAGUCACUGAGUGACUGAAACAGUCCACACCAGCCUGUGUUCCUGCUCAUUGCUGGAGGUGUUGUCAGCUCCCCUGCCCUCAACCCAAGGUCUAACCCUUGCAGUGCAGGCAGGGCGUUCAGGAGGAAUCAUGUCUUUGGAAGGAGCCCUGAGGAGUGACUGGUGGGUAUUGGUGGAUAAAUAUCCCAGCUCCCUUGCUUUUGGUGGGAUGACUCUGAGAUACAUGUUCUGUGCUGUCUCUCAGAAGUACCUGGCAGGGCUGAGUCUUGGCUGCCACAGUGGAAACUUUCCUGAUGAAGGUCCCUUUAACUGCUGCAUUCCUUUCCUGUCUCAGUUCCCCACUCCUCUUCUGGUGUUUCCUGGGAUUACCACCCUAAGGAAGAACUGGCAGUAGAAUUACUGUCCGAGAGUCAUCUCCAAACAAAAUUUUUGUAUCUGAAUCUUUUCCUCUGGAUCUACUUCCAGGAAACUCAAACUAAGACACACAUUUUUCAGUCAGCUCCUACAAUCCUCAUAGACCUGUGAUUGUGCUGAGGAUCAGAGAGGGAAAGUCACUUGCCCAAAGUCACACAGCUGAACAGUGGUGGAGUUCAACUUUGACCAUAGGCUGUCUGGUCCCAAGGUGGAUGCUUGCUCCUCUGGCAUGAGACUUCUCUCUUAUCAGGGUCAAAUGAAUGAAUGGAGGCUGUUAAAAAUUUGGUCUCUGAUGCCUGUGCCAGAGGCUCAUGGUUGGUGCCUGUGUUCUCAUUCUUACCUCAUUAAGAGUAAUAAUGAAAAACAUGCUCAGGGCUGACUGUGCCUCGGGGUGUUGUUGUAGGUACUUUGCUUACUUUAAUUCAUUUAAUUUUCACAAUAACCUUGUUUUUACUUUUAGUUUUUAGGUGAAAAAAACUGGGGCAAAGAGCAAUACAAGAGAGUUGCCGAAAUUCGUUCUGCUUGUCCAGGUUUGAAGCAAGCAGUCUGCACCUAGUGUCCUUGUCUGUAACCAUGGCACCCUGGUUUCUCACACAUCUCAUAAUGGAGUUCCACCUUGUGUCAAGCAUGGCACUGAGCAGUUUAUUUUAAGAACAUAAUUUGUAAUUAUGUAGAUUACUAAUUCUACUUCAAAAUGACACACAGUCUUCAUGUGAUAAAAGGAAACAAUUGGUAAGUGUAAGCAUUGAGAACAAACAUUCUUUUUUCCGCUCCCGACUCCAUUCCAACGUUCAGACAGUGUUUUCUCUGUGCCUGUAGAACCUCAGCUCCUGUGCCGAGGAGCCUGGUCCCUUUGGCAAAGCAGUGUGGCAGUCAGGUGCUGGCAGGAAACUCUCAUCAGCUGACGGGCCAUUAAGAAGGAGCUGUUUACAACGGCGUGGGCAGGAUCAGGGGGAACGAGGAGGGAUGGCACAAGGCCCUGGGGUUAGGGUCAUCUGGGAACUGUCACCACCCCCCAGUCUUGUGGAGCCAUAGAGAAGCUUUCUCAGGAACUCAUAGGGAGAAUCUGCAGCUGAAAGGGGACGCCAGAGGAGACAUCACUCUCUUGCCCUUUGACUGCGUCUGGAUGCCCCUACUGACCAACACUACCAUCCCCUUAUUAGACUGGAGAGGCUGCCGGGAGGGUUUCUAAGCCUCCUAUUGUGGCUCACCUCCAACAGUGAGUCAGCACCGGCUCUCCUGGCCCGACAGCCCAGGUUCCCCUUAGCCGCUCUAUCCUGCAUGGUCCCCUUUCCCGCUGGGAAGCAGAUACCCAAAUGAGCAGCAGAACCCUGUCUCUCCCAGCAGGCCCCUCUGCUCUUUAUGAGUGGUUUUCUGGGUCCCCUCCCUUGGUUUGGGAUGAGAAACACCCUUUUCAAUUCCACAGGGAUUGUUUCUGUGGACUGUACCCUGAGUGUUUCCCUGGUGGGGUAAUGGGCAGGUGGGAGUGGUGGUACCGACUCUUUAGAACCAGCAAUGCCAAACAGAUCCCACUCGGGGAAAGUUCAUGCUAAGUGUCAUGUGUCCUCUGGAAUUUUCUGAAGCUUUCCAGCUUUUUUAUUACCCCCCUAACCAGCUCAUCUGAUUUCCAGGGAUCUCUACUAAGAUGUUGGCAGCCCGGCCAGCUGGUCUGGCCAUGGAUGUGACUUCAGGGGCUGGUUAUGCUUCAUGCACCUGCUUCUAGCUUCACUGUUGGGCCAGAUUUCAUCCCCACCCCAGCUCUGCAGCGCAGCUGCUUCUUGAUUCCUCCAUGGACCCUGCGUGAAAUUACCCCAUGUUUCCCUUUGUGCACCACUGAGGAAGGAAGCAUGAAGGACACACAGCCAUUUUGCAGACCCUGGUCACAGUGAAACAUUCCAUGGGAACUCGGGCUGUGAGAAACAUCCUUCCUAACCACAUGACUGCAGGAACAUCCUUAUCGCAUCCUCCCAGGCAAAGGUCCAACAGCCUGACUGCAGGGACAUCCUUGCCGUUUCCUGCUGGGCAGCAAGCUCUACCACCCAGACCCCUCCCUCCCAUCCCAUGAUUACCUCAGCCUGUGAGCGGCAGUUGGCGCUGGCACUAAGCUGGUUCACCCCUCCUCAGGGUUUUGUUGGCAAUAAAAGUGUUGCUGUUGAAGCC